UCUUGCUUGCCCAUUGGAACUGCUUGCUUAACAAGUUUUCUUUAAGGGAAAUGUCAUUCUAUUACUAAUGUAUACAUAAGGGGAAAAGUCUGAGGUAGUUGGACUCAUUUGGGGACUCUUUUGGACUCUCCCUCUGGAUACAUCUUGCGGUCCCCACCGGCAGACGGAAAAUGUGGCCACCGGAAGCCUGUCGCUGUGUCACUCGAAAGCCACACUCAGCCUUGAUAUCCCGGGAAUAUAUAUGGAUGUAGAGAUUUCCAAUUUGCCACUGAAAUCAUCUGGCCUCUUCUUUCAAGGGAAGAAUACACUGUUUGCUCAAUGGGCAAAGAGAGCAUUAGAAGAUAUGAAUAUCAGACAUUUUCAGAAUGGAAAUGUCCAUCUGGCUCUUCAAGCCUACCUUCUCCCUUCCCCUUUUAUCUUUAGCUUAAUCCCAUUUUCCUGCUUUUUCACCACACCCUCAAUGCCUUUAUUUUCCAACAACAAAUAAAGGCAUCACUUAAAUUCA